AAAAGUUCCCCAGAUGCAUGAAUGCACUUGACAUAAUCUGCAUUAAGCCAAAAACGACUCAUUGCUGGAAGAGACCUUUCUUUGAUGAUGUUAUAAAAUUCUGAAUUGGCAUUCACAAUGGCUCUUGUAGCCGCAUAGUAAGAUUUCCACCCAUUAACAGGUGUCACAGUAUCUUGUUCCAAUGUAAAAUCCUUGUGAUAAAGCGCUUUCCAGGCAUUAUCAUCGUUAGCAGCCUUUCGCAUCAAUGAAUUAGUCAUAGACAAUCUACAGAGACU
rnacentral:misc_RNA from 1 species